rnacentral:rRNA from 1 species
AGCAGCCGCGGUAAUUCCAGCUCCAAUAGCGUAUAUUAAAGUUGUUGCAGUUAAAAAGCUCGUAGUUGAAUUUCGGGGUCAGCAAGUUGGUCGUGCCACCGGUAUGUACUGGCUUUGCUGAUUCCUCCUUCUUGUAGAACCGUAAUGCCAUUAAGUUGGUGUUGCGGGAAAACAGGACUGUUACUUUGAAAAAAUUAGAGUGUUUAAAGCAGGCUAACGCUUGAAUACAUUAGCAUGGAAUAAUAAAAUAGGACGACGAUCCUAUUUUGUUGGUUUCUAGGAUUGACGUAAUGAUUAAUAGGGAUAGUUGGGGGCAUUAGUAUUCAAUUGUCAGAGGUGAAAUUCUUGGAUUUAUUGAAGACUGACUACUGCGAAAGCAUUUGCCAAGGAUGUUUUCAUUAAUCAAGAACGAAAGUUAGGGGAUCGAAGACGAUCAGGUACCGUCGUAGUCUUAACCAUAAACUAUGCCGACUAGGGAUCGGAUGAUGUUAAUUUUAUAAUGACUCAUUCGGCGCCUUAC